ACCCCACUGCUAUCGGGAUAGGACUAAGACAUGCUAGUUGAGCGCUUCCAGCCAACACGGGAGCGCAGCGCACAGCUCAGUAACACGUGGCUAAUCUGCCCUUGGGACUGGAACACCCCCGGGAAACUGGGGCUAAUUCUCGAUAGGUGAAGAACUCUGGAAUGAGUCUUUGCCAAAAAGACGUUUACGUUAUGCUCGUAGGCGUCGCCCAAGGAUGAGGCCGCGACCGAUCAGGUUGUUGGUGAGGUAAUGGCUCACCAAGCCUUUUACCGGUGCGGGCCGUGAGAGCGGGAGCCCGGAGAUGGGCACUGAGACAAGGGCCCAGGCCCUACGGGGCGCAGCAGUCGCGAAAACUUUGCAAUACACGAAAGUGUGACAGGGCUAUCCCGAGUGCCAUCCGCUGAGGAAGGCUUUUACCCAGUCUAGAACGCUGGGGGAAUAAGGAGAGGGCAAGUCUGGUGUCAGCCGCCGCGGUAAUACCAGCUCUCCGAGUGGUGUGGAUGUUUAUUGGGCCUAAAGCAUCCGUAGCUGGCUAAGUUAGUCCCUUGUUAAAUCCACCGAAUUAAUCGUUGGAUUGCGGGGGAUACUGCUUGGCUAGGGGACGAGAGAGGCAGACGGUAUUUCCGGGGUAGGGGUGAAAUCCUAUAAUCCCGGGAAGACCACCAGUGGCGAAGGCUGUCUGCUAGAACGCGCCCGACGGUGAGGGAUGAAAGCUGGGGGAGCGAACCGGAUUAGAUACCCGGGUAGUCCCAGCUGUAAACGAUGCAGACUAGGUGUUUGGACGGCCACGUGCCGUUCUAGUGCCGCAGGGAAGCUGUUAAGCCUGCCGCCUGGAGAGUACGAUCGCAAGAUUGAAACUUAAAGGAAU
rnacentral:rRNA from 1 species